CGUGCAGGAGUGCCUGGAGUUGGGUGCUUGGAGCAGUCUUCCGUGCGAGUCCGGGUGCCACCAGAAGUCCUCCUAGCCAGCUAAAGCAGGAGUGUGUGGAGUUGCGUUCUCGAGCCGUCGUCCGUGGGAGUCCCGGUACCACCAGACGUCCUCCUAGCCAGCAGGUGUACGUGGAGUUGGAACCUCGAGCCGGUCUCCCGUGUCAGUCUCGAUGCCACCAGACGUGCUCCUACCGGGCCAGCCCAUCCAGACGUGACAUUCCUACGCCGCUGACAAGAUCGAGCCACAACUAGGCACCCACGCACGACCGAGAGGGCCGCCCGGCACAUAUUGGACUCAUUCGUGAAAUCAGGUCCGGCCCCAGGGAGCACGAAUGUGCACCCUAGGGCCAUGACUUUGUCUAGGGGGCCCAAAACCACCGGAAUUCUUCCGGGUAUACUCAUUGACCCUAAUAAAGCAGUGAAA
rnacentral:lncRNA from 1 species